ensembl:lncRNA novel transcript, sense intronic to GRM7
UGGCACAGAGGGACCACAGCUACAGCUGUUUUUUAAAAAUCUCCUGCUGAAAUUCUUGGUUUUUACCUUAGUACUUCUUUUAUAGCUUCAAUGAAAUGGGAUGGAAACAACAUCUUUAUCUCUGAGGAAACUGAACAGUCACUGUUAACCACCAACUGAGGUGUUAACUUAUAACCCCUUUUUGUGCCAGAUCUUUUUAUCUGAUUCCCUGCAGGAUAUAUCUAGGCAUCAGGACAAGAUUAAACAAAGAUGUCAACUUAAAUAAUGAUCCUGUGACUGGCUAGAGUUAAAUGAUCCAGAGAAAUAGUACAUGCUGUUUACUUCCCAGGGAGCCGAUGGAUUCAUAAUACGGGAUUUUUACAGGGUAUGUACCUUAAAUUAGAUGAUUGUGGUUGAGUGUAAUGUAGCAAAAUAACCCAUUUGGUUCAUCAGAAAAUGAUCAUAUUUGGAAUGGUCUUUCUCACCUUUAAAUUGGCAGAGCUGGACUAGAGGUUGUGUAAGAUCUCUUGCAGUGUAGUGCAUCUUGCUUUGAAAAAUUUGGCCCUGCCCACAUUCAAACUAUGCUUUGUCUUAUGCAAUAGACUGAAUGGCAUUGUCUUUUUAACUUUGGGCAAUUAUUUUGCACAUAUGAAUGCAAUUGUUGAAAUUGAUGGGUGUCAGUCAAGUGAUGAAGACUUUAAUAUUGUAAGGGCCUUUAGGCUCAAUCUCUAUAUCAAUUGUGGCAUGUGUGGAGUUUUGAAUGUAAGAUUUUCUUAAAGUUUUGUGUUAUCACAAACCACCCAGAUUUCAGACGAAGAGACGUAGUCCAUUUUAAGAUUAUUUUUAUGCAAAACAAUCUAUAGUGCCUCUGAUCUAUUCCAGAGCUGUGUGUUAAGUGUCUCUCCAUUUGUUAAUUAUGCCUUUCCAUUUGUUUCUUUCAGCAUUGACAGCCCGUUUCCCCUCCUGGCUGAACAGUAUGGUUUUGAACUUUGUUAUUGUAAUUCUGCAGCCAAAAUUGACAAUGUGGAGCCAUAAAAUAGUGUAGAUUAAAAAUCCCUUAAAGGUAAAUAAGAAGGAAGAGUUGAAGAUUUCUCUGUAUUACUUUAUCAGCCACACACCUAGAGACAACAUGGAAAUGUGGGUAGGAAAUAUUUUGAAUGCUUAUAUUAAAAACUAUAGUGGUAUAUGAUUUUUUGAAAAUUCAUAUAGUUUAACGACAGAAACUGUCUCUGAUAAGGGAAACAAAAUUGGAUGUAGAAGUAAAAAGAGCAUGACUAAACAAAUGACUGCAUCAGCAAAAUGAAAUGUAUUGAAACAGACAAAUCAUCACAUCAGAAUGAAGUUACUUCCUGAAUUUACCACAUGAAAAAAAAACUGUGGAAAUUAACAAGAAAUUAGCCAUCUGUAUUUGUUACAAUAUAGAUAUAGCUGCAUGUGAGAGAGACCAAAAAUAGCUUAAUAAACUGGCUUAUCUGUCUUGUCUGAGUGGCUUUGCCUGCAAGUCAUCAGGGGCCUGCACUAAUACUAUCUUCUCUGCAAUCUCAAGUGUGUUGAGAUUGGUACCAGGUGAUACCAGGUCUGCAUUCAAACCAGGAAGGACGAAAUGGGAAGGGAAGAGAAUACACUUUCCUUUCAAGGACAUGGUCAGAGGACAUGGGCAUCCUUAUGCUCCAUCUCUUGGCUAGAAGUUAGUCGCACGGUCCCCGCCCCUCAUGUGAGGCUAGGAAAUGUAGGCUUUAUUAUUUUGGCCAGGUGCUUAUCUAAAUAUUCUACUGAGAAAGAGAAGAGUGGAUAUUGGCAGAACAACAUAUUUGAAACCAGAUAUCCCUAAAUAAUCAGAGCUGCAAAAAUCCAAAAAUAAAAAAUAAAAAA